GUCAUGGUCAUCUUCAACCUGUCUGUGUUC
rnacentral:piRNA from 1 species